ensembl:ncRNA F07A11.12 ncRNA
UCAUGGAAGGCAUGGGUUGAUAGCGCCGCCGAACCAGGAACGUACAGUCGCAAAAGAAAGCAAAAACUAAAUCAUUUCCCUUCACACUCUCCCCCACCGACAAUCCCAAUGCCAUUCGCGGGCAGAAGGCC